rnacentral:rRNA from 1 species
GACGAACGCUGGCGGCGUGCUUAACACAUGCAAGUCGAACGGAAAGGCCCUGCUUUUGUGGGGUGCUCGAGUGGCGAACGGGUGAGUAACACGUGAGUAACCUGCCCUUUACUUUGGGAUAACUUCAGGAAACUGGGGCUAAUACCGGAUAGGAGCUCCUGCUGCAUGGUGGGGGUUGGAAAGUUUCGGCGGUUGGGGAUAGACUCGCGGCUUAUCAGCUUGUUGGUGGGGUAGUGGCAUACCAAGGCUUUGACGGGUAGGCGGCCCGAGAGGGGGGCCGGCCAGGUUGGGACUGAGAUACGGCACGGACUCCUACGGGAGGCAGGGGGGGAGAAUAUUGCACAAUGGGCGGAAGCCUGAUGCAGCAACGCCGCGUGCGGGAUAACGGCCUUCGGGUUGGAAACCGCUUUCGCCUGGGACGAAGCGUGAGUGACGGUAAUGGGUAAAGAAGCACCGGCUAACUACGUG